UACGAAGGGGGCUAGCGUUGCUCGGAAUGACUGGGCGUAAAGGGCGCGUAGGCGGCUGUCACAGUCAGAUGUGAAAUUCCUGGGCUUAACCUGGGGGCUGCAUUUGAUACGUGGUUGCUUGAGUGGGGAAGAGGGUCGUGGAAUUCCCAGUGUAGAGGUGAAAUUCGUAGAUAUUGGGAAGAACACCGGUGGCGAAGGCGGCGACCUGGUCCUUGACUGACGCUGAGGCGCGAAAGCGUGGGGAGCAAACAGG
rnacentral:rRNA from 1 species